rnacentral:lncRNA from 1 species
UUGGACUUGGGGAGGAUAAAGAAGAUGAAUUGGGUUGGUUUUCAUCAGAGGAUGCUAUAGGAGGAUCCGGUGAUAUUCUGAAGUCAGAUUUUAAGUUUUUCUGUCCCGAGUCCAAGGCAAUGGAAAAUAUUUCAGAAAACCAUGACACCUCGAUGGUAAAUGGAAGCUAUUCUACUAAUGAUAUUACCAGGACAACUGCAUCCAUUUGGUACUCAGAGAGAGAUGAAUCUGCUUCUCAUGUGUCCAUUGCGAAUGGAUCCACGGGAUCUGACAGAAAAGAAGAUGUCAUGCCCAUAGAAAAGGUAGGUCUGUGACUGCUACUAGAAUUUGGUUCUAUUCUUUUUUCCUUUCCAGAUAUAUCUGUUUGAAACCAUGAUUGACCAAUACGAGGCAAUUUUUUUGCAGGGAAUAGGACAGAAUGGUAAAAUGCAACCCAAGAUUUCAACUAACAGUUACAAAACUGGAAACAAAGAAAUGGUAAUGCACAAAUUCAAUAAAUUAGUGUUUUUAGGGCAAAUUAUUUUCCUUGAAUGUUCUUAUUUUCAAUAUUUGCUAGAGUAUAUGUAGAGAGAGAAAUACAUCAUUUUUUAAUAGAAGGAUUUUUUUAACCGAGUAGAAUUCAGAUAAUAUUAGUGGCUGGGUAUACUGAAUCUUUAUUUGGUCUGUAAAAUUUCUUUAUGUGACACUAUUGAAAUUUGAAAGACGGUCUACUGAACCAGUUUGACAAUACAAUAAUUCAAGUUUAAUAAACGUUGCAGGUUAAUGAGCAUAAAAAGCAGUCAAAGCAACAGAACCAUUCUCAGAGGAAAAGAAAAGAACAAUGCACUGGAAAUGGUUGUUUUAAUUAUGCUGGCAACCUGCCGAAUGAAGUUAGGCAUCUUCCUUCUGGGGACAUAUCUCAUGAAACUUUCCAAUAUAAGGCUAUUCAAUGUCAACCGAAGUCUCCGGUUCCAGAUUCUUGUGAUUACCUACAGAAUGCUUUUCCUUACGUGCAUUUAGAUAGCAGACAUUUACCAGAUAAAACUUCGGUACAUACAACUCAAUCUGCUGUCAGAUCUGAGAAUGAUGACUUGGCAUUCCUUUCACCGAGGGAGCCAUUGUAUGCCUCCAGUCAAGUGCAUUUCUUGGAAAAUUCUGGUGAUCCUCCAUUUCAGGUGGCUACUAUAGCGGGCAGUGAAAAAAGAGAGAAGCUAGUCAAUCAUAAAGGUAGUCAGUCUUCCAUACUUGAUCCCAUUUCACUGGAAAAGAAAGUUCACCGUUUUGGAGAUAAAUUUGAAAAUCAAAGUGAUGUUGAUGUAGUCGGCAUAGUGAUUCCAGCAGAAUUAUGCUCAUCAAAUAUACAAGAGAGCUCAUCCAUGAACUCAGCUUUGGAAGAUAUUUCAAUUGAAGCAGCUAGUUUACAACAGCUUCAGCUUGUCAUGGAACAGGUAUGAUGGACUUCCAAAAAUUUAUAAUUUGCUUUGAUAUUUAAUACGCUAAAAUGUAAUUUCGAUGUUGUAACCCGCUCCCAGGAGGUUUGACCUACGCAUUUCAUUGUGUUCUAUCAUUGGUGGGAGAGAAUUUUUAUAAUUGUGGAGCACGUAGAAAUGAAAUGGAACAAUAAUUGGUAGUGAGAUUCUGACAUAAAGGUUUGAUUAUUAGAAUGCUAUAGUCGGAGAUGAUGCGCGGAGUGAUAAGAGUCUUAUAUUACAUCCAUUUUGUUUUGACACUAGAUUAGUGCUAAGAUCCUGUAGACAAUGCCCUGUACUAAAACUUUAAUCCUGUGUAUCUGUGAGCAUAUGUUCAGCAAAUUUAGUGAGCAUGCCGCCAGACACAGGUUGGAGGACUUUCUGCUACUCCCUGAAUAUACGUGUGACUGCCACCUUGAUAUGUGUGUGUCUGUACGUUUUGCAUCUGAUACGUUUUUGUUAUUAAAGGAAAAUGGAGUGUGUUCAUGUCUUACAUGUCAUGAUGUCAAUUUUACAGUGUUUAAAUUAUGUUACGAAUUCUUCUGCCUUGAAACUGACGAUGGUUAAUGUUUUCUUGGUUUAGUUGGACAUGAAAACAAAAUUAUGCAUCAGGGACAGUUUAUAUCGUUUGGCUAUGAAUGCUGAGCAAAGACAUACCCAUGCAAGCCCCAAUGGUGGCUGCAAAGAUGAGAGAGAAGCCAGUGGAGCAUUCAUGGCAGAAGGAUCAAACAAGUAAGUCAAAUCUUUGAUUUCUGUAUCGUUAGUCUCAUCUUUAGUUGCAAAUAAUGACACCCUCUGAUACUCUCAUGAUUUUUCAUUAGGUGCACUGGAUUUAUAGAUAUGGAAACCGACACAAAUCCUAUAGAUCGCUCCAUCGCUCACUUACUGUUUCACAGGCCUUCAGAUUCGGCUUCCAUACCUGUCAAUGACUCAUUUGCAUUCAGGUCACCAAGCAUGGUAAUUUUUCAUUUCAUGUUUAGUUACAACAUGCAUAUGUUGUCCCAACAGUUUCUUGAUGACAACUUAUGGUGCGUUCAGUAAUGAGGAUUGAAAAGUAGUAGAUGGUAAAAUGUAAGAAAUAGAUGCUAAAAUUCUAUUAUGAACAGGUUCAUGGACCCAUCACCAGCAUGUCUGCAAUGGAUGAGAAAUCUAUCAAUAAUGAAGAAACUGCUGCUGCUGAAACAUAGAGAAUUGUUUCUUGACUGCUGAGAGUCGACGAGUCUCUAGCUUUUGCAAAGCCCAUACCAUGUACAUAAACAUACCAGUUGACUCAAGCUUAUAUGCUAUUUAAAUCAUGUAAAUUUGAGUCUGGUUUUUAACCUACCGUUUGGUGACCAACCUUGUACGGCUUUUCAUGGGGAAAUUGUUUUUCUUUAUUAUUUUUUUUUUUCACAUUUUACGAAUAUCACUGAGUAAAUAUGAAAUUAUGCUCUACAUAUGACUGUUUGAUGCGAGACACAGAGAGAGUUUAAUGGUUCGGGGUUGAACCAACUUGUUUCUAAGCCAAGACUGAUCUUCUAUUGCAGCAAUUCAAAUAGUGCGGCAUUUAAGGAAAAUGCGAAGAUACAAUUUGUCCCAUAACAAUUUCUUGAGCCCGUACAUUUCUUGGCGGAGAAGGGUAGCGAGUUUAGGAAGUUUUCAAAGACUUGCCAUUUUCGAGAAGUGGAAAAAAGUGAAAUGGUUUUAGAUUAUAAUCAAGAAGUAAAAUGUGACCAACCAAAUUCAAAUUCAGCCAUAAAUAACAGAUCUAAAAUUCUUACGCUCACAAAUACUCUGCUGUUUAUGCUAUGCUAUACAUAAUGUCGAACAAAAAUGAAGAAGAAAAUAGCAAGCAUUGAUGAUCUCAUGACUAAACAGAAAAUUCCACUGCUAAUCAAACUGUUAUUGGGAAAAAGAUAAGAGGAAAAGGAAAGUUAAGAGACUGAUCAUCUCUUACUCCAAUAACCUAUAUCAUUGUUGAUGAUCCUUAACAUGUUUAAUGAAUUCCAUGUACUACUGCUGUUUCCUCUAAUGUAGCAAACAAAUAUAAAUAAUGAACCUAUGCUUCAGGUUUUUUAAUAACUAUCAUUUUAAUCAGGUUUGUCUUGUUCUUGAAGUUUUUCAAUUUAAUUAGUUAUUUGUCUUUUUAUCAAGAAAAGAAACAAUUAUGGUUGGCAGUUCAGUUAUAUAUUUUGCACGCGACCUAUGCUAAUUUUUUACAUUUAAAACUCUACUCAUAAAAAUUGUAUAGGAAAUUGCAAAUUAUUGAUACCCAUUUCAACGAGGUGUAAUGAUGAACAUUUCAUUUGCCUAGACUAUAAACCAUGGAUAUCCAUUACUUCUAGAAAACUGAUUACAAAAACUCAGGUUAUGAUCAGGCCUGAGCAAGCAUUCCUGCAUUUUCUUGAAACUUAAAAGGCCAUUUUUAUUAGUAGACCUGUGAAUUCUUCUACACAUUCUUUAUGCACCCUACUUUAGACUGACCUCCAAAGCUUUAAUGUUUAUUCUUGUGAACAUAAAUCAUCAACUACGCAGUCAAUGCAGAAGUUCAUCUUUUGUAAUGUAAUUGAAAUAAAAUAAAUAAAUAAUAGUCAGCUCAAAAUAGUUGAAUUAUCUUACCAUUAAAAUUUGCUGUUCAUAACAGAAAGGAUGCCUGAGAAAAUGUGCUGAAGCAAGAAGAUUAUUUGUCUUUACUGGAAAUAUUCCAUACACCUGUUACCUGUCUCCUCCUUUCCUCCUGCUUUCUUUCCUUUUUUUGGUAAAGCUGUCAGUCAAUCCACCUUUCCCUAGUAAGUUCAUCACUGUUUCAGUAAAAAUUUGAUUAUUAAAAUUGAGCUACUCAUUUAUGCUACAGAGGAAAAGGCAAACCAUAAAUAUCCUGUAAUAUGAAAUGCAAUAUAAAUAGAGUGCAUGAGAUGCUCUAAGUUUCAUUUAUAUCGUGCUGGAUGGAUUACGUUUUGCAUUUCAUAGUAAUGAAAUGAUCAUUCAGAUUACGCUGACAUGUUUGGUUUCUAUUCUUCUGUUUGAGGUUUAAGUUUCCCAUCUUUACUUGGUACAGAAAUGUUCUCCUGGACCUGUAUUCAUGGUUGAUGUUUAGCUUCCAAUGCACUUUUGAUAUCUUCAUUUACUAUUUUCCGUAGUUCAUGAUGUUAUAAUCAAAUAUUAUUUGCUUAUUUUAUUGUAGUAUUCUCUGCAGUUAGCAGCUAAAAUUCUUUAACUGCUGUAACAGUUCGAAGAUAUAAUUUGGGAUGAAUAUUACCAGAGUGAUGAUCAUAUAGUGCCUCAUCCUGGUGACAAACGGGCCAAAGAAAUUUCCUUUCAGGGUGAUAGUUGCAAGAAACCUCGCUGUGAAGUAACUGGUAUUUCAAGAAGUUAUGCAGAUAAAUCUGCUGCUAAACGUGUAGGUCAGGAGAAAGAACAAAGAGAUCUUUCAACUUCUAUUAAUAGAAAGAACCCCAUGUUUGAGAAGGAUUCAUCGUCUCGCCCACCCCACGAUGCAUCCCUCUCUCCAAUUGUUCGUGAUUCAAUCAAAGAAGAUUCGAGUUCAGCAUCUGACAAUACCAGAAUAUCAAGUCAUGGCUUCAACAACAAUAAUUUAGAUUCCAAUGGUAGUGAAGUUUGUGCAAAUGAUACCACACUCAAUGACAAGUGCACUGCUGUUGAGAGCAACUCUUUUAGUUAUCCACUCGGUGACAUUUCUCAAACAGUCGAUGAUCUGAAUUUCUUUGACAAAAAUCCUGAAGACGAGGAUUCUAGCGAUAUCUUACAUUAUGAUUGGCCUGAAAUAGGAAAUUUUGAGGAUGUCGACAGGAUGUUUAGGUAAUUUCUUACCUCGAGUUCAGAUUAAAUACGUUUUCAUUCUUAUUGCAUGUUUCUCAUUAUUACAUUGCAUUCUCCAGAAGUUGCGAUUCAACAUUUGGACUUGGGGAGGAUAAAGAAGAUGAAUUGGGUUGGUUUUCAUCAGAGGAUGCUAUAGGAGGAUCCGGUGAUAUUCUGAAGUCAGAUUUUAAGUUUUUCUGUCCCGAGUCCAAGGCAAUGGAAAAUAUUUCAGAAAACCAUGACACCUCGAUGGUAAAUGGAAGCUAUUCUACUAAUGAUAUUACCAGGACAACUGCAUCCAUUUGGUACUCAGAGAGAGAUGAAUCUGCUUCUCAUGUGUCCAUUGCGAAUGGAUCCACUGGAUCUGACAGAAAAGAAGAUGUCAUGCCCAUAG